UACGUAGGCGGAAGAUUAAGUCAGUGGUGAAAUCCUGCAGCUCAACUGUAGAACUGCCAUUGAUACUGAUCUUCUUGAAUUUAGUUGAGGUGGGCGGAACGUGUAAUGUAGCGGUGAAAUGCUUAGAUAUUACACAGAACACCGAUUGCGAAGGCAGCUCACUAAACUAACAUUGACGCUGAGGCACGAAAGCGUGGGUAGCGAACAGGAUUAGAUACCCUGGUAGUCC
rnacentral:rRNA from 1 species